rnacentral:misc_RNA from 1 species
GUCAUAAUUAAGUUUCCUGUUACUCUGUCAAACAGCACAAGCGUGAAUAUGAUCCGGGACUCGCAUCCCGACCAAAUGUCGGCAGCAGGUGCGGUACAGCGGGUUUGAUCUCUCUCCCCCACUAUCCCACAUCCCCACCACCUUUCGAUUUGCAAUGAUCCUUCCGCAGGUUCACCUACGGAAA